rnacentral:misc_RNA from 1 species
GAUGAAGAACGUAGCGAAAUGCGAUAAGUAAUGUGAAUUGCAGAAUUCAGUGAAUCAUCGAAUCUUUGAACGCACAUUGCGCCCGCCAGUAUUCUGGCGGGCAUGCCUGUUCGAGCGUCAUUUCAACCCUCAAGACCCCUUCGGGGGACUUGGUGUUGGGGACCGGCACAGGGGCCUGCCUGCUUGUCUUGCAGCGCCCUCGCCGCCCCCGAAAUGAAUUGGCGGCCUCGUCGUGGCCUCCCCUGCGUAGUAGCACAACCUCGCAACGGGAACGUGACGGCGGCCACUGCCGUAAAACAACCCCAAUUUUAUUAGAGUUGACCUCGAAUCAGGUAGGAAUACCCGCUGAACUUAAGCAUAUCAAUAAGCGGAGGA